CUUCAGGGAGCCCAGCCACAGCGGCAGAUCCGCCCCGCGGUCCUGCCCGUACGCGGCCAUCAGCGCCUGCGCCUC
rnacentral:antisense_RNA from 3 species